GGCUGCUGUCGAGAGACGACGCGCUCACGUGGCUGAGCGCCACCAUUGCCGACCAUCAGACCUGCCUGAACGGUUUCACUGAGCUCAACCUGUCACCCAUGGCGAAGGCGGCGAUGCCCUUCGUAUCGAUGAAUGUCUCUCAGUUCCUCAGCAACUCGCUCGCCGUGACGAAGGCCAACGCCGCGACUACGCUCGGCGGCGGCGGCGGCGGCCGGCGGCUGCUCUCGAAGGGUUUCCCGGUGUGGGUCUCCGCCGGCGACCGGAAGCUGCUCCAGAGCUCGUCGGUGAAAGCUGACCUCGUGGUCGCGAAGGACGGGUCUGGGAACUACAAGACCAUCUCGGAGGCGGUGGCCGCCGCCGCGAAGCUGAGGAGCGGCACCAAGAGGUUCGUCAUCCGUGUGAAGGCCG
rnacentral:lncRNA from 1 species